rnacentral:lncRNA from 1 species
GUUGGCCACAGAGACACUCAAGGGCUGGAGGAGAAAUCCGAGAGCGGUGCAGACGCGGGAGCCGAGAGCCGGGACCCAGGAGCGGAGGUUGUGUUUACAAAAGUAAUGGAGAAGUGGAUGGGGCUCCGGAGACCCAGGACUGCUGCUUUACAGGUGCAAAAGGAGAAGGCAGGGCUGGUGGGAUCAGGACACAAGGGAAUUACUGUGGGCUGGAUCAGGCACUGGUACCGCAAGCUCACAGGAAACCUUGGUGUGAGAGAACUACUUGAAACAAGAUAGCUCAGUGGAAGAAGAAAGCCAGACAGCCUUUUGCACAACCAUUGUCGACAUCAGCCGAUGACCAGAAGCAGCAACCAGGAAUUGUGGAAAGACGGUAAGUGCAGGAUUUUGCAGUGCAGUCAGUCAGUUUAUACAUCAGUUAACAGCAGCAUGAGGUGCUAAAACAUUACUACGGACAUACAAG